ensembl:lncRNA
UUUCAUUUUAUUAUUUGUUUAGUUGUUCCCUGCUGACUUCAGGUGGGAUGAUUUCAGUCAAUCAGGAUCAGCUGGCAGGAAAGGUUACAAGAAGCCUUGCCAUUCCUAUUAGAUCAAUUCCAUCAGGACCGAACACCAGCAGGUGGCAGAUCUCGAAUAUGAAUCGAAGAGCCUUUUUUAUAUUUGUGCUCGAAAUUUGCUAUAAAGUGGUUUAGGUUAAGAGAAAAAGCAUUUUUGGAACCUUUCAGGAAACAGUAUUUAAUAGAACAAUUCUUUUGUUUCUGAACAUUCCAAUUCCUCUACAAAGAACCUUUUGUGUGACUGAAAGGUUUCACAGAUGUUAAAGGUUCUUCAAGGAACCAUAAAUGCCAAUAAAGAAACGUGGAUCAUGCACCUUCUUUAAUAUAGCGCCGCUGACACAGGCUACAGAGAUUAGAAGCAGCAGAUACAGACUGUAUUGAUCGGCCCUUCUCAUCCCUCGGCCGCAUGUGCUCUUCAAAACCUUCUAGCUGAUGUCUGAAACAGUCGGUGUGCGCAUGAGGUUUUGGUGCAGCUGAGGAUUAUUAUUGCUGGAAAGUUACAUCAUUUUCUACUCGAGGAAGUUCUUCUAUAAGCCCGCAAGCUCUUCAUCGCUAACAAACC